CACUCUGAUCCCAUCUUUGAGAGCCCAGUCCCUCAUGGCUCUGUGUGUGUGUGUGUGUGUGUGUGUGUGUGAGAGAGAGAGAGAGAGAGAGAGAGUGAGAGAGAGAGAGAGAGAGAGAGAGAGAGAGAGAGAGAGAGAGAGAGAGAAAGGGAUACAAAGUGAGGAGGACGUCUUUGUAUCUCAUUUGAUGAUUCGCCAGCAUCAUUUGCACUUUGCCACUGUUUCCAUGUUGAAGUGUCCCCUUUGGUGCCCACACUAUGAGGAAAAGAGCAAAGCUGCACCAGGGGACCUGCCCAGGCAGGUGCAGAUAUUCAAGGUGCUAGUGGUGGAGGACAUCGUCAAUGACAUGCAGAGGGACAACAAGGCCUUCGUCCACAAAUUCCUGCACACCUACUAGAGUCUGAACAGCACCCAGAAGCUGAUGGAGCAGCUAUGCAGAAGGGAUGGAGAACUCAGAGCACAAGAGGAGGAGGAGCAGCUUAAAGUGAAGAAUACCCUCUGCUCCAUCAUCCAAAUGCUGCUGCGUACAAAUCAUGAAUACUUCCUGGGGGCCCAGGUCUGAAAACCCUGGGGAGUCUCUACACCUUCCUUCAGCUCAGCAUGCCUGGGACGGAGCUGAGCCUCCAUGUGCAUGGACUCCUGGCACAACUGGAGGACCCUAAUCCCACUGCAGUGCCACCAGAAGUGCCUCCAGCAGAAGAGCCCCAGUUUCCGGCGACACAGCACAGGGCCAUACCCUCUGAACUGGGGGGGAGAUCAACCAUCCAAACUGAAGAACAGAUUCACUGGCCCACCAUCAGUAGAGGGAACACCAGGUCCUCCAGAGGCUAUGGGGGUAUCUGUGGUCCAGGAUGCAGCUCAGCCACCAGCCACCAGCCCAGAGGACGUUCACCCCUGCUUUCCUGGGGCUGUGGAGGGAAAGACCAGCAUCCACAUGUCUUGGAAUGGAGUCUCCUCCCUCUCUGGUGGCAGCAGUUGCAGACACCAUGAAACUAGAGGGGGAAGGUUCAGGAGAAGCCAAGGCAAAGCCCACUCCACUCCUUCCUUGUUCCCAACAGAAGAGGUCUCUUUACGUUGUCACCGCUCUCCAUAGCUGUGUGUCAUGGUGACCUGCACUCACACAGCCAGGUCUGAAGGAGCCAUUCCCACAUCUUUGACAGCACCAGGUCACCAAAGUUGUACAUUUGCCCAGCUGAUGACAGGGUGCUCCUUCCCACCUAUGUCCACCUCCCCUCACAGGCUGACAUUGGUUCGUGUUCACUGCUACCUUUCCUCCCUUUGAAUGUCCCAUUACUCUAUGGAAGUGGACAGGGUGGACCCCUGCCUGGCGGUCGAUGCCCUGCCCUCUCCCCUCCAGCCUCCAGGACCCCAACCUUACCUGUGAAGACAACCCCACUCAAACACGUGUCACACCCUCUGAUUUUUGUGACUCCAUGGUUAACAACCUUCAGAGCUUUCAUCCUCCUGAGAGCCGUGCUCACUGAUGGUGGUUCCAGGGUGGCCAACUACUGAACCCCCAUCCCCUCCUCCACCAGUGCACUGUGGGUCUCUCCCUGUCCCCAUCUCUGGUCCCUGAAAGGGUUAGUUCUCCACAGUUCUCCCUCACCUGCCUUCUUUUUCAGACAUGAACUGGGGACUCUCAGAACCUUUCCCCUCUAUAGGUCACAGCUUCAAGCCCACCUUGAUGACAGCAGCAGCCACUGGUGUCCGCCUGGAUGGUAGUGUGUGCACACAGUUACGUGGAAUCCAGUGUCACAAUGAUAUGUUUUCCCGUAGGAAAUGGGAAUGUUUCUUUAUUUAUUAGUGUUUGGGUUAUUUCUUCCAAAUAGAUUUUAGGAUUCUAAUGUAGGCUGUAUGUGUUUCUUAUAAAUAGAUUAAUUAUGUUCUAUUUCUUUUUAUGAAAUUUUUAGCAUUAAUAAGAUAUUGCCAAUUUUGUUGCAAAUAAGAAAUUUUUCAUAGUUUAAAAGAGAAACAGGGUUAGAGAAAGUUACUGAUUGUUGCACAUUUGCUUUCUUUGUAUCUACAAAACAAAAUUCUUUCUCAUAAUAAGUAGUGUCCAGGUUCCCGAAUUAUAAAAUCAUACUGCCUAGGAAGAAAGGGUCAGCAGCCUUCUGCUCCCUCACUGUGCCUCCCAGAGCUACGUGUGUAGACAGGGCCCAGUGAGGUGGACUUCGCCCUCCAGGAUGGAGCAGCAGGCCAUGUGGGUACUCAGCUCAUGCCUGCCCCAAGCUUUGGCAAAUGUGCUUCACAUGUUUUAACAGUUUCCUUCUACUCCUAUUGGACUCAGUGUAUUUUUGUUUGGGAUGAAUAAACAUCAGCCUGUGAAG